CCUACGGGUGGCAGCAGUGAGGAAUAUUGGUCAAUGGGCGUAAGCCUGAACCAGCCAAGUCGCGUGAGGGAUGAAGGUUCUAUGGAUCGUAAACCUCUUUUAUAAGGGAAUAAAGUGUGGGACGUGUCCUGUUUUGUAUGUACCUUAUGAAUAAGGAUCGGCUAACUCCGUGCCAGCAGCCGCGGUAAUACGGAGGAUCCGAGCGUUAUCCGGAUUUAUUGGGUUUAAAGGGUGCGUAGGCGGCCUUUUAAGUCAGCGGUGAAAGUCUGUGGCUCAACCAUGGAAUUGCCGUUGAAACUGGGAGGCUUGAGUAUGUUUGAGGCAGGCGGAAUGCGUGGUGUAGCGGUGAAAUGCUUAGAUAUCACGCAGAACCCCGAUUGCGAAGGCAGCCUGCCAAGCCAAGACUGACGCUGAGGCACGAAAGCGUGGGGAUCAAACAGGAUUAGAUACCCCAGUAGUC
rnacentral:rRNA from 1 species